rnacentral:rRNA from 1 species
UGGGGAAUAUUGCGCAAUGGCCUAACGGCUGACGCAGCGACGCCGCGUGUGGGAGGACGCCCCUCGGGGUGUAAACCACUGUUGCCCGGGACGAACAAGCCUUUUCGAGGGCUCUGACGGUACCGGGGGAGGAAGCACCGGCUAACCCCGUGCCAGCAGCCGCGGUAAUACGGAGGGUGCGAGCGUUGUCCGGAAUCACUGGGCGUAAAGGGCGCGUAGGUGGCCGCCUAAGUGUGUGGUGAAAGCCCGGGGCUCAACCCCGGGUCGGCCAUGCAAACUGGGCGGCUGGAGCACUGUAGAGGCAGGCGGAAUUCCGGGUGUAGCGGUGGAAUGCGUAGAGAUCCGGAAGAACACCGGUGGCGAAGGCGGCCUGCUGGGCAGUAGCUGACACUGAGGCGCGACAGCGUGGGGAGCAAAC